rnacentral:lncRNA from 1 species
GAUUUUGUUCCAUUAGAUCAUUAGCCCGGAAAAACUUUGGAAAGGAUAUCUUUCAGGUUAACUAUUGUCUAGCUGUACGCGUGUUUUCAGAAUUAAGUCAUCUCUGUAAGACGUUGAAGCAAUUUUUGGCGCAAAGCCCAAAAGAGUUAUUCAGAUGUUUUUGAAUUUUUUGAACCAGUUGAGCAACUAUUUGAGCCUUCAAGGAAGUUGGAAGAUGAACAGAUUCUUAGAGUUUGCAAAUGGAGUUCUGGAUAGGCAUAGGAGUUGUCUUUUGCAGCCAGCAUAUCAUUAUCCUAGCAAUUACCUUAUUUGUAUUACACUGCUUUCUUUAUAACAACUUGGUAGAAGUAGGUUAUUUAAAAGGAUCCAUUGUUAUCAGAAACUGUUUCUUUCCCAUUUGCAGGCUAUAACAAAGCGUAGUAGCUUUUAUUCAUGAGAUAAGGUUUCUGUGGACUAAUUCUAAAAUGUGCUUUAUCAGUAACAGAGUGUUAACCCAAGUCCUUAUUUGGUACUCUUGUCCUCUUUGCAGUGUUUAACAUUGUUUGCUGUUUGAAUAAUGCUUCAAGAGGAGUAUACUGUAUUUGCUUUUGCCAAUCAAUGCAAAAUCAAAUAAGAGCCUUUUAAUCAAAUCCUGCCUUCUGCUGAGCGAAGCAGAUCAUAUUAAAGUCAGUAUGGAUGAGCAGUCAUUUAUCCCUGGACAGAGUUUGGCCCUUUGUGAAAUGCCAUUUGGAAUUAAUAUUCAAAUCUCUUAAACUGUGAGGAGCGAAGCUUUAGGAUUCCAAAAAUUCUUCAUGUGCCAGGCAACCAAUGAUGAACGUAAAAUAAUUUUGCAAGGAUCCAAGUAAAACUAUUGCCCAAGAGAAAAUUAACCAAGUGCCUGAGACUCAGGAAGAUGUGACUAAAAACACUGAUUGCUUGCCCAUCCCGCUUAGGGAAAUUUCUAAAUGUCAUAUAAUUCUAAAUGUAAUUUUGAAUGGGUAAGCACAAAGCACUGCAGGAUAUAACCCCUGAGAGGGAUGCACAUGGGCACAGAGAGAUCGGAUUUGUGUUGUUGAUUUUUGGUUUAUGUGGUCUUAAUUGCUCCUUCAUGCUGGGGUCAUUACCUGAGCUGACUUUCGAGAGAACUUGCUUACUGGAUACUGGCGGCAAGAACAAAACAUGGUUUCGGUCACUGAAGCCAAAUGGGAGUAAACAAUCCUUCAUUUUCGGUGUUUAUUCUCAUGUGGAAAUCACUGGUGAGAGAGCAGCAUACAUGAGUGACCAACAGGCAAUCAAAAUCCAGCUUCCUGAAACUCUCUGCUAAACUUGCUCAGAGAUGUGGAGCAGAUCAACUCUAUGAGAGCUCAUUGUAGUGCAGAGAAGUCUGGAAACUCGCUAUGCCUGGUAUUACCUGUCAGAUACUGGGUUUGAGUUAGAGCAAGUGUUUAACUGUUUAAUUAAAGAUGUUUAAUUUUGCACUGAAUCACGCUUUCAAUAAUUUUUCUCUACCGCUAAAAGGGCAAGAACCCUCUAACUAAAACUUUGAGUUGUGAUUAAUCAAAGAAAUUUAAGUAAUUAGUCUUUAAAAAAUGCCCUGUUUUGUAAAACUCCUUAAAAAUCAUAAGAAUUGGCAACAAUUGAUGUGAUGUCUAACUAUCGUCCGCACAGAGUGAAUUGGAGUCGUUCUGCCACCAGCUACAGCAAAGCAAUCUCAUGCAGUAGUGUGGUUAAUACCUCUGUAAUUUGUCUGCAAAAAGCUCUUUUUCCAAAAACUCCUACUUCCUUAUACGCAUGAGGCAUCUGUGCUAACU